rnacentral:lncRNA from 1 species
CCCCAGCACCCAAUUGUAUACCCCAGUCGUAGGUCCUUCUACUUCUUCUACGUGGCACGCCACCUCAGCAUGGCUUGACUAGUGGUGUGUACGCCCACACCCAGGAUCCAAGCUGGAGAACCCUGGGCCGCUGAAGCGGAGCGUGAAAACUUAACCACUCGGCCACGGGGCUGGCCUCAAGGGCUGAUAUGUCUAAAUGAGCAAUACAAUAAAGACACACAAUUCAUGUAUGGUUAUAUAUUUAUCCAUAAAAUUAAUCUUCCUGGUUUUCAUUUCAGCAAAACCACUAAUUAUGUUGUUAUAAUCAAUAUUUUCACAUCAUUUGAGUCCUAUUAAAAGUAAUGCACACUAGAUGACCUUUCUCGAAUCUUUGGGUUUUUUUAAAUUUUCAAUGUGGAGAAAUUUUGCUCUGCAGAGGCAGCAGCAAUUGAAAUCGUCAAUAAAAUUCUUAAAGCAAUACUUUGAUUUGGAAAUGGAUCAUGAGUUUUAUAUACCAACAUUGUAAUUGGGUUGCAUCUGAUAUAUUCAUGAUCACAGACACUGUUACAAAUGUUUUAAUUUCAUCCUAUAAAUCACCAUCAUUUAUUUCAUGAUUUUCAAAAUCUCUUAAAACAAUAUUUAAAAAUAUACAGAUCCAUAUAGUGUUGUAAAGAGUUGAUAUCAUGCUUCACACAUAUUAUUGGUGCACCUACAUACAUCUGCAUUUAAGUGUACCGUGAACUGUUGUGGAUAUUGUGCUAAUUCACGAAUAAUUCCAGAACCAUCCGUUGGAACAUGAAGAGAAACCAGAGACUGUUGCAGGCGGGCCACUUGGAGAGGAGGAUGGCACAGCUACGUCAUCUUCCCUCUCUCCCAGGAGCUUCUACCACCAGCAUCUUCCUCGCUCUCCGAGGCAGCGUCAGAUCUGAGGUCAGCAGUGGCACACUCUACAAACCUUUGCAGCUUUGGGCGUGGUUACCUUCUGCUUGGAGAACACGGGGCAAAAGAUGUAGGGGAUACCUUGGGGCCUGGAGGGUGUCAGUCACCUGCAGAUGUUCAGCAUUGGGGGUUACACUGAGCCCGUGCCAUGUGACAGAGGGCCUUCUAAAGUGAUGGGCCCAGGACCCCGCCCACCCAGGGUGAUGGCCAGUACUGCACUUCUUGCUAAAUAACCAUAUAAAUAUUACUGUAGUGGAUUGAAUAGUGGUCCCCGAACAGAUAUACCCACAUCCUAGUCCCUAGAACCCGUGAAUGUGACCUUAUUUUUGCAGAUGUGUUAAAUUAGGGGUCUCGAGAUAAGAUCAUUCUGGAUUAUCUAGGUAGGCCCUAAAUACAAUAAUGUGUCCUUCUAAGAGACAAAUAGAAGAGAGACAGAGGGAGAAGGGGAGAAGGCUGCAUGAACUUGGAGGCAGAGACUGGAGCGAUGCAUGCAGCCCCAAGCCAAGGAAUGCCCACAGCCGCUGGAAGCUGCUAGAGGUGGGGAAGGAUACUCCCCAGAGCCCUCAGGGGAGCACCGAGCUGCCAACACCUUGCUUUCAGACUCCUGGUCCCUAGAGCUGCAAGAGAAUAAAUUUCUGUUGUGUUAAGUUACCAAAUUUGCGGUAAUUCGUCAUGGCAGCCCUAGGAGAUGAGGGCUAAGUACAAUUUCCCACAAUGUCCAGCAUUUGUCAGGGCUGAUUGUGUACCAGGCACUCUGCUGAGCCCUCUCUACAAGCAUCAUCUCACUUAAGCCUCACAAGGCACUGUUCUCACCCUCACUUUACAGAGGAGCGGAGAGAGGUUCUAAAAGGCAGGAAGCUGGCCCGAGGCCACGUGGCCAGGAAGCUGGGAUCUGAACCCAGGUCCGUCUGCUGCAAAGAUCUUAGAGCACCCGGAAGCCUCCUCGCCUGGUGACACAGCCGGCUGUAAGAUGGAUUUACCCUGUGCUUGGUGGCUUCUAGCUGAAUGUCACCUCCUCUUUGUCCCCCUACUUAAAAGAGGCCCACAUCUUUUAGCACUCUCUGCUCUAACCCUCGGCAAUUUACCACCACCUCAGAAGUGAGAUAUAAAUUACAACAGACCAUUCUUCUAACUCAACCGAUCAUGGGAACACUGUUUGCUGUUACAAAGAAACAUUCUAGGCAUACACAAUCACGCCUAGUUCUUUGCAUCUAUUUAUCCUCGGGGUCAUUCGGGUUUAUUCGCACACAUUGCCAAGAUGAAUCAGAAAUCUGGAGAAACCAUUUGUUCUUGGAGAAGGACAGCAGUCAGGAGGGUUUUUUGUUAGUUUCUUUUUGUUGAUUUUGAAUUUGUAUGAAGACUAUGUCCCGGUCCCAGGAGAAAACAGACAGAAAAGUUUGUUUUCUUAAGACUUAAAAUAUAUUCUCUGAGCUCACUAAGCCAUCAGAACAUGCCGCUGGGCUCUGACGAUGGCGUGAUUUAGGGAGUAAGCAUUUCUUUCCGCUCUAUGUUUGCCCUGUCUUUUGGGGACUAGAAGAGAUUGUUGUCCAUCUGCUGACAAGCCCCAAAACUGUGUGUGUGUGUGUGUGUGAGUGUGUGAGUGUGAGUGUGUGUGUGGUGUGGCUGGGGGAAGGGGGUCUGGAUGAGGUGGUUACUUUUAUGUUGUUACCCUUCAUUUAUUUUCUUUCAAACAAAAGCUACCCCAUUUCACAGGUGGAAACACUGAGUCCUGGUGGAUGGAAACGAUGUUCUCCAAGGUAACUCAACCAGACAGACUUAACUACAAAUGCCAUGCUGUCCUCUCAAGAAACCAUUCCAUUUAGUGAAAACGAGACCGGUUAUGCAAUGAGUUUGAGGCUAAUUUUAAAGCAAGUCAUGUGUCCUUCCCGUUGCUCUGACCCAAAUACGAGACAGGGACUCAAAGUUGCACACAAAGAAUACCCAAAACAAUCAGGACACUCGACAUGAGCCAUCUGGUUGAUGACGGGAAUGCAAGCGUCAUUUUUCAGCCACCGCAAGGCUCCGGCACUGGGGACUCGUUCAGCGUUCCAGUUAGGACACCGCCCGGAGACUGUGCCAGGGACCGGCCCCAGGUCGCUAGUUCUGUCUGCAGCCAGAUUUCUAGAGCAGUAAAGAGAAGCUAACCUAACCUCUCUCACAAAGGUGGCUUUGUGCUGUGCUGACCAACAGCAGUUAAUAGGGGUUUGAAGCCAGGGCCGGGGGCUUUCUCCUGAGGGCUGACGGGAGGGGAAGGACAGAGUCCUUAAGGGGCAGACACGCGUGAGCGCAGACAGAAGGUGUGGCCUGAUGCAACGAAAGUCUACGCUGAUCCCGCCUUUCUGAACCCCUUCUCCUGUCCAGGUCUGCAGCGCGCCGUCACUGGGCCCGGGCCCUAGGGCUUCCCUCUUCUCUCACGUCUCUCAACCAAAACCCGCUGGGAAAGAAGACGAGAAAUUCAUCCGCAUCAAGGAGAACGGACAAAUUUAUCUUCCUGGGAGCGUCCCGGAAAAAUAAUGGGUCUCUGGGCAGUUUCAGAUACCAGAGAGAGAGCCAGGAAGAAGAUAUGUCAGAUCUAUGCAUGGAACCACGGAACUUUCUGUCUGGCUAGCAGGGGAGGCUAACAAACAGAACUUCAUGUGGAUGUUUUGAAACAAGAAAGCAGGCUGAGCGUUGGCUGAGCAGAACUGCAAACCAGUUCUCCCCACUCUCGGUGUGGAGAUGACCAAGAGUCUGUCGUGGAAGAGAGAUUCAGAGCCAGGCCGGCUGCGAACCGAUACUGCCAGAUGGCAGAGCAGUCAAAAUAUUUAGCUGUGAAGCCCACACUGUGUUCGGGAAGAGGCUGAACUCACCUUCCUGCCGCAGACCCUGGUGGGCUCCCGUCUGUGGGUGCUGCCUGCCUCCUCAGCCGGCCGCUUCGGUGACUCACUGAGUGGCUCACUGAGUGACUCACUGAGUGACUCAGGCUGGGCUCUGGUGGUUCAUCCCUGGCAGGGAUUUAGCCAGCUGAACCAGCUUCCUCUCCCGCCUUCUAGUAAAAGAUAUCCUGUGUCGAAAACAGAGCCUUGACUGUACUUCUGUGAGAACGGCCCUACCUUGCUUCCGGGGAAUGUGGGGUUUUCUGGACCCAAUAACACACAGAAAAGCAAUAUUGCUCUCCAUGUUAUAGAGGGGAAACAUUGUGAGAAGACGGGCUUGCCCAGGUUCCGAGUGCUGGCGGGUGCACUUGAACGCCCGAGUCUUUUCUAUCACACUGAGGGUGGUGAGUCCAUUUGAAGAUUCCUUAAUGACGUGUGCAAGAUUGCAUAACUACUUGCUGCCCUCUGAAACUGAAACGUUCUUUUUCUAUAAAAUCAUGGUUUAGAAACCAAGAGCAGAAUCUACAAGGGAGAAGUUGUUUCCCCCCAUGUUUUGAAAAACAUUCAUUUCAGAUAAUGAAUCCCUGGGUGAUGGACUGGUUGAUUCUUUCAAAAGAAUUUAAUGACCCCUCCAUUAUACAAAUAAGAAGCGUUUAUUGCAGAAACUUUGGAAAAGUUAGAAAAAAACAAAGGGAAAAAUAAAAAUCACCCGUCAUUCUCCUAGUUAGAUAUAAUUGUUGUUAUUUUGAUGUGUGGCCAGCCCUGGUGGUCUGGGUUAAGAUGUGGCGCUCUCACUGCACGGCCCAGGUUUGUCUCCCAUCAGGGACCACACCACCCAUCAGUCGUUGUCACACUGCGGCAGCUGUGUGUUGCUGAAAGCUCUGCCACCGGGAUUUCAAAUACCAGCAGGGUCACCCAUGGUGGACAGGCUUCAGUAGAGCUUCCAGACUCCGACAGACUAGGAAGAAGGAGCUGGCCAGGCACUUCCAAAAAUUUUGACCAUGAAAACCCUGUGAAUAGCAGCAGAGCAUUGUCUGAUGCAGUGCCGGAAGGUGAGAGGAUGGCGCAGAAACACCCGGCAGGGUUCCGCUCUGCUGUACGCAGGGCCGCUAGGAGUCGGAAUCCAUUCCACGGCACAAACGACAAAAAUUUUAAUAUGUAUCCUUCCUUUUUUCAUACACAUGUGACCAUAUUUUAACAAAUUGGAAAAAAUGUGCUAUAAACUGAUGAAUGAUACUUCCAUGAGCGUUUUCUCACAUCAGUUUCUUUCCAAGCGUCUUUGAUCCAUAGCACACACUCUAUCCUACGGAUGGUGUACUUCAUUUACUCCACCUAUUGAGACUUUUAGCCUGUUACCAUUUUUUUUAUUAUAAACACCACCACAACAGGCUUGCUUGGUCUUAUAAAUAUUUAGUGAUGUUUCCACCCGGCCAUUUGUAUGGGCUUUGGUUUGAGAAAAACUGAAAAUGGAAGAACAGAGAAGGUUAAUAGACAUUAGUUUGAUUUUUGUCUGGCGGAGAAGGGAGAGAAGGAAGGGCAGCCAUCUCAAGUGUCCCCUCUGUAAAGGUCGUUUCCGUCCCCCGGGCUCUUAAUUCUGUUUGUCUGACUUGCCUCCUGUGCGCUUUACCAUCUCCGUCUCCCCACAGCUCCUCACCUUCUCGCCACCCUGUCACAAUCUCUGUUUGCCCUCAUCACACUCUGGGGGCUCUCCUCAGGGCCUCCCUGGUCUUGCCCGCUGUUGAUGAAGGUUUUCUGUGUCUCGACUCAGUGCCUGAGAAGUUAUUUCUAAGAGCAGCAAGUGAAGGAUCCCGGCACAGUGUAUGAAGUCAUGCCCAUAAAGCUCUUCGGCAAAUCACUGCAUUGUUCCACCCGUUGGGUACAGCCCGCAAUGCGGCUGCAACUGACCGGGCCCAAAGACAAGCAACAGUGGUGUGACCUCUGGACUUGUCUAAUUUCUCCACUGGACUAAGCAACUGCCCCUCCAUUCCCUUCCCAUCAGGCACUAUCAGUGUGUCAGCUCUAAUAACAACUAGAAAAAUGGGGACAAUCGUUAUUCCCAAGCUACAAUUUGAGAAACAUCUAAGAGAGUCAUAAAAUCGAAUAAGGCUCAGCAGAGUGCCUUUAGGAAAAAAAAAAAACCAUCUCAUUUGUUGCAGGUUCUUAAAAUAGUUCCCAAUGCUGUCCUCCACCUUCACAAUUAUUUUUGUCUUCAGUUCUAAAUCUGAAUGGCACAGAGCAGCAGAAUUUAUACAUUUAAGUUCAUAAGAGAACAGACAGCUCAUUAAUUCUUAACGUUGGUGGGAUUUGACUGUUUGCCAUCGUAUGCUCCAUUCCGAAAUAUGUCUGGGUCUGCUUUUCUGAGAUGAUUAAAGUGUCUUAUUGAUAACCUUGCGGCUGUUAAGAACACGGUGCCCUUCACGUAUGAGACAAGGUUACACGCCCCUCCCACCCAAGGGAGGGUGUGGGCAACAUCAACACGAAUCAUCUCACGUUUAUCCAUUCACAACUUCAUUUAGUCAAAUAUUUGAGAUUUUCCCAUGUGCCAAGCAAGAGAAAAAGCCCUUGUCUUCCAAGGGGGAGACAAAUAAGCAAAUUUGUAACAUAAUGAAAAUGUUACAAAAAAAAUAAAGCCAAGUAAGAGAAUGGAGUGUGUGGGGGGAUGGGGGUGGUACUUUAGAUCUGGUAGUUAGGGAAGGCCUCUUUGGGGAGGUGGCAUUUAAGUGCAGGAACGAGGCAUGGAAAUAACUAUCAGGAGGAGCAAGGCCAAAGCCCUCGAGAUGGGAAAGGCUCCACGAGAGAAGGGGAGCAGCGAAGAGGUGAGGGUAGCUGAACGCAGCGAGGCAGGGAGAGGGAGAGCUGAGGGGGCCGGGAGCCAGCUCAACGAGAGCCUGUCAGCCACGGACCUUGGUCUGCUCCACCAUGCUCUCUCCCAAGUGCCAAUUCACUGCAGACUCUCACGGUCCCUGAAUCCAGCGGUGACCACCUUGGGUCCCGGCAAGCUGGAAGCCCUUAGGGAUUCCUGGGAAAGCUCUGGGUCCUGUAAAGUGGUCACUGCGGCUGCCAGGCCCACCCUUUUGGUGGUUUUACAAUUCAGAUGAGCUGCUCCUACAGCCUAGGUCUGCUGCUAUACCACCACCUCACUUAACCAUCGACUGCUGUGUGGGGAUCACAGUUCCUGAGUCCUCCUGUAGACCAUGUGAUCUGUAUGUAUUUCCCCCCAUCCUAGAGAAGGAGGCUGAGUUUCAGGAGGUUAGGGACAAGGUCACAUUGUGCCUUAGUCAGUUCAGGUUGCUAUAACAAAGUACCACAGACCAGGUGGCUUAUAAAAUCUGUUUCUUGGUCGCUCUGGAGGCUGGAAGUCUGAGAUCACGGUGCCAGCACAGGUGUCGGUGGGACCCGCUUCGGGUUGCAGACUGCCAGCUUCUCACUGAAUCCUCAUAUGGAGGAGAACAGAAAGAAGUGGCAAGCUCUCUUGUGACUCUUCUAAGGGCACUAAUCCCACUCGUGAGGGUUCCACCCUCACGACCUCAUCUAAUCCUAAUUACCUCCCAAAGCCCGUCUCCUAAUACCAUCACGUUGAGGGGUAGGGUUUCAACACAGGAAUUUGGGGGGACACAAACAUUCAGUCCAUGACACUUGGUUAUUGAGUGAGGGUGGGAUUUAAAUGCAGAUCUAAUUGACUGGAAAGUCUGCUUUUCUUACAUCACGUUGCCUAAUCCUUCCUGAGCACUUCUGUUCAUUGAUCAAAAUAUUUAGUGAACAUCUGCCGUGUGUUUGGUGCUGUGCUGAGCAUCCCCGAGGGACGGAGACACAAAUAAGAGACAGUUCCUGCCCUCAAGCAUCUAGAAUCAAGUGAGCCGUCUAGUCUAUAAUACAUCCCCAGCAUGGAGUGGGAUUAUAACACAGCUCCACCACCACACACACACACACACUCACACUCACACACACACACCCCGUUUUGGACUUUCUCACACAGACAUUUGUCUUAUUCUUCUCAUUAAAGAAACUUGCCAGCUGCCAGGCAGGAUGGGCCACUGCCAAGCGUGAAAAGCAUGCGUUGACCCAUCUGGCCUUGGUUGACAUUGGUACUAUUGUUCACAGUUGGAUUUCACUUAAAUUUGGAUCUUAAUUGUCACUUUAAAAAAUCUUCAAAAAGAUCACCCUAUGUUGCAGGGCUAAAAUGGUAAGACGUCACUGUAGAAGCCUGGCCGUCACACGUCGGCGAUGCAGCCGAAGGGCAGCAGGAACUGCCACGUCUCUGAGCUCUCCCAGCAGUGUCAGAGCCAAGCCCAGGACUCACUCAGGCAUUUGAAGGACGAGCAUUCAGGUGGAGAACACACAGCUCUAUCAGAAGCUUCCAGACGACUUUCUAGAGAAGGUGUGAUACUUCCAGUGGUAUCUUAUUCAGCUCGGGAAUAUAUGAACUACAAGUUUAACCACAUCGGUGAAAUGUCUCAAAAUGAUCUCCAUCACAACAGUGCCUAAGAGAUUAUUCUCAGCGUCAGUACCCUGGUCGUUUCCUUUGCUAUAGUUCCCAUAAUUUGAAAUUACUUUAUUUGCUUGUCUUUGUUUCGCGAUGAGGUUAUCUUUUCAUUGUUGUUUCUCCAGCACAUGGCAAAAUGCCUCAAGCAGAGUCGGGUUGCGGGAAGCAGAAGCUUCUGAGAUGCUGUAUACCCACCGUGGCCAGGACGAUUUACAACUCUUUCUUUAGUGUCUGGGAGAAGCUUGGUCUCAAAAGUUUUAUUGUGACGCUGAAAAAAAUAAGUGCUAUGUUGUUGUCUAAAUAAAUAUACGCUACUGUGAGUUUUUUAGAACACAGAGUUAUGAAGACGUGAUUUUUUUUUUCUGAAAAAAAUUUUAUUAGCUUUACAGAUACUAUUUGGUGUUAAUUUUUAUGACUUGGCAGUUUCUCUUACUCAGUGGCAUCACAGAAUGAAGGAAACAGUAUAACAAGAGUAAAAGACCUUUAAAUAUUUUAAAGCUUUAAAUCAGAGAUUGUAAUAUUUGGGAAUCUCUUCAAACGACUCUCCCAACAUCUCUAACCCAUUAACAAAAAACUCUCAUUAGAUAAUGUGUACUUUCCAAAUAAUUUGAAAUCACCUUGAUAGGGCUUGUAGGCAAAUCAUCACUGUGGCUGGAAAGGAAGAUGCGAGCAAAUGUGCUGUAAUUGUACUGAAAGGAGCUGGUCCGAGGGGGUCCUCUCUGGGCGGCUCCCUGCAUCGUGAGCUCUGUGGGUGGCAUCGGCUUUGGAAUAGGAGAGCCUUUUUGAACGGUGAUGUCACGCUUACCUUGGGCAGGUGAUGUGUCCUCUCUGGGUUUCAGCUUCCUCGUCUGUGAAGUGGGGAAGAGAACUGCCAAUCCCCAGACACGAGGAGGAACCCGCAGGUCUCACACUCAGUGGCGCCCGCCGUACACGGCCCUUGUCUUGGUCCACUCGGGCUGCUGGAACAGAACACCGUCCACUGGGUGGCUUCUGAACAACACACAUUAAUUGCUUACAGUUCUGGAGGCUGGCAAGCCCAAGAUCAAGGCCUGGCAGAUUGAGUGUCUGGUGAGAGCCCCCUUCCUCACAGAGGGUCAUCUUCUCACUCUGACCUCACGUGGCAGAAGGGAGCAGCUAGCUCUCUGGGGUCUCCUUUAUAAGGGCACAAAUCCCAAACACGAGGGCUCUGCUCUCAUGACCUAAUCACCUCCCAAGGGCCCCACCU